rnacentral:rRNA from 1 species
CGCAGCCGCGGUAAUUCCAGCUCCAAUAGCGUAUAUUAAAGUUGCUGCAGUUAAAAAGCUCGUAGUUGAAUUUCGGGACCAUCAUGUCGGUCGUGCCUCGGUACGUACUGGCAUUGUUGGUUUCUCCCUUCUGACGAACCAUGAUGUCAUUUAUUUGGUGUUGUGGGGAAUCAGGACUGUUACUUUGAAAAAAUUAGAGUGUUUAAAGCAGGCUCACGCUUGAAUACAUUAGCAUGGAAUAAUGAAAUAGGACGUUUGAUUCUAUUUUGUUGGUUUCUAGGAUCGACGUAAUGAUUAAUAGGGAUAGUUGGGGGCAUUAGUAUUCAAUUGUCAGAGGUGAAAUUCUUGGAUUUAUUGAAGACUAACUACUGCGAAAGCAUUUGCCAAGGAUGUUUUCAUUAAUCAAGAACGAAAGUUAGGGGAUCGAAGACGAUCAGAUACCGUCGUAGUCUUAACCAUAAACUAUGCCGACUAGGGAUCGGAUGAUGUUAAUUUUUUGAUGACUCA